GUGGGGAAUAUUGGACAAUGGGCGCAAGCCUGAUCCAGCAAUGCCGCGUGUGUGAAGAAGGUUUUCGGAUUGUAAAGCACUUUCGACGGGGACGAUGAUGACGGUACCCGUAGAAGAAGCCCCGGCUAACUUCGUGCCAGCAGCCGCGGUAAUACGAAGGGGGCUAGCGUUGCUCGGAAUGACUGGGCGUAAAGGGCGCGUAGGCGGAUAGGACAGUCAGAUGUGAAAUUCCUGGGCUCAACCUGGGGGCUGCAUUUGAUACGUCUUGUCUAGAGUGAGGAAGAGGGUCGUGGAAUUCCCAGUGUAGAGGUGAAAUUCGUAGAUAUUGGGAAGAACACCGGUGGCGAAGGCGGCGACCUGGUCCUUGACUGACGCUGAGGCGCGAAAGCGUGGGGAGCAAACAGG
rnacentral:rRNA from 1 species